rnacentral:rRNA from 1 species
UACGAAGGGUGCAAGCGUUACUCGGAAUCACUGGGCGUAAAGCGUGCGUAGGCGGUGCUCUAAGUUCGGUGUGAAAUCUCCUGGCUCAACUGGGAGGGUGCGCCGGAAACUGGAGUGCUUGAGCGUGGGAGAGGAAAGCGGAAUUCCUGGUGUAGCGGUGAAAUGCGUAGAUAUCAGGAGGAACACCUGUGGUGUAGACGGCUUUCUGGACCAUAGCUGACGCUGAGACACGAAAGCGUGGGUAGCAAACAGG